UUGAACCUAUUUGAAGUGGCCCAUUUCGUACCAGAAAAGCCCAUGUAUGAACAAGGGUUGAUUUUACUUCCACACUUAGCUACUCUAUGUUGGGGAGUAGGGCCAGGGGAAGUUCUAGAUACUUUUCCGUACUUUGUAUCUGGCGUACUUCACCUAAUUUCCUUCACAGUCUUAGGCUUCGAUGGCAUUUAUCAUGCGCUUCUGGAACCCGAGACUCUUGAGGAAUCUUUUCCAUUCUUUGGUUAUGUCUGGAAAGAUAGAAAUAAAAUGACUACAAUUUUGGGUAUUCACUUAAUUUUGUUAGGUCUAGGUGCUCGUGCAGAGGUUUGUAGGACAGUAGCAAAUUUUCCUCAAGUGGAUGACCUAAGGUUUAUCAAUCCGCAGGAGGCGUAG
rnacentral:rRNA from 1 species